CAGUAGCCGCGGGAAUACGGAGGGAGCUAGCGUUGUUCGGAAUUACUGGGCGUAAAGCGCACGUAGGCGGUUAUUCAAGUCAGAGGUGAAAGCCCGGGGCUCAACCCCGGAACUGCCUUCGAAACUAGAUGACUGGAAUCUUGGAGAGGUCAGUGGAAUUCCGAGUGUAGAGGUGAAAUUCGUAGAUAUUCGGAAGAACAUCAGUGGCGAAGGCGACUGACUGGACAAGUAUUGACGCUGAGGUGCGAAAGCGUGGGGAGCAAACAGGAUUAGAUACCCGGGUAGUCCCUGUCUCUUAUAC
rnacentral:rRNA from 1 species